rnacentral:rRNA from 1 species
GUUAAACCAGUAAGUUAAGUUAUAUAUCUUGGUAAAAAGACAGUUAGACAAAAAAUUAGUUUAUUGAUUCUCUUUAUAAAAGUAAAAUUUGAUAUAGAUGUAAUAAAAUAAUAAUAGCUUUAAGAUUGUUGAAUCUGUGAUAUCUUUAAGGGAAACUGGGAUUGGAUACCCCAUUAUUUCUAGAUGUAAAUAAAGAAAUUUACCAGAGUACUACAAAUAGAAUAAUUUAAAACUCAAAGAGCUUGGCGGUAUUUUAGACCACUUAGGGGAACCUGUCUCAUAAUCGACAAUCCACGUUAAACCUUACCUUUUUUAGUAAUCAGCUUGUAUACCGUUGUCAUCAGGUAACUUUUAAAGAAAAAAGAAGUUAGCUAAGAAAUUUUAUUAAAUUAGGAUGUCAAAUCAAGGUGCAGUUUAUAAAAAGGAGAAGAUGGGUUACAAUUAUAAAUUAUAAUACGGAUAUGCAUAUUGUAAAUGGCUUGAAGGAGGACUUAAAAGUAAGCUUUUAUAUAAAAAUAACUUGAACAAGGCUCUAAAAUGUGCACACAU